CCCUUAGAUGUCCGGGGCCGCACGCGCGCUACACUGAAGGAAUCAGCGUGGCUUUCUCCCUGACCCGAAAGGGUUGGGAAACCCGUUGAAUCUCCUUCGUGAUAGGGAUUGGGGCUUGAAAUUGUUCCCCAUGAACGAGGAAUUCCCAGUAAGCGCGAGUCAUAAGCUCGCGUUGAUUACGUCCCUGCCCUUUGUACACACCGCCCGUCGCUACUACCGAUUGAGUGAUCCGGUGAAUACUUCGGACUGCAACCGGUGCGGUUUCCGUACCCUUUGCAAAAAGUUGAAUAAACCUUAUCACUUAGAGGAAGGAGAAGUCGUAACA
rnacentral:rRNA from 1 species